rnacentral:rRNA from 1 species
UGUUCUUUGAGUCGCGUUGUUUGGGAAUGCAGCGCAAAGUAGGUGGUAAAUUCCAUCUAAAGCUAAAUAUUGGUGCGAGACCGAUAGCGAACAAGUACCGUGAGGGAAAGAUGAAAAGAACUUUGAAAAGAGAGUUAAAGAGUACCUGAAACUGCUGAAAGGGAACCGAAUCGUUUCCAGUGUCUAUAAUCUGCGGCAUAUUUCAUGUGCGAGUGCGUGCGUUUCGGCUUUGUGGCAGUGGUCUUUUGUCUGCGCCCGUUGCUGUUUGUGCGUGUGGUUGCGCGUGCCCUGUGCUGUGGUGGGACGUCAAGGUGAGUUCGAAUGCUGCGGGAAAUGGCCGUCGGGGAGGUAGGUCUUAAGCUCUGCUUUUGGCUAUUAUAUCUCGGCGGUUGAGUCGUCGCGGUUGGGACUGAGGUGCCUACAACGUGCUUUUGAGCGCGUGCGUGUCUCUGUGCUUGCGUUGUGCGGAUAGCUUGCUAUGCGCGUGGCGUUGCGUGCGGAUGGAUAUGCGCUGCUGCUUGUUGCCGUUCGGGACUUUGACGAAAUGGCGCGAUCCGACCCGUCUUGAAACACGGACCAAGGAGUCUAACACGCGUGCAAGUGUUUUGGUGUGGAAACCAUAACGCGCAAUGAAAGUAAAGGGCGCCUUACGGUGUCUGAGGUAGGAAAGCUUGUCGUUUGUGGCGGGCUGGCACUAUCGACCGAUCAUGAGCCUUCGUGGCGAAAGAUUUGAGUUUGAGCACGUGUGUUGGUACCCGAAAGAUGGUGAACUAUGCCUGAGUAGGGUGAAGCCAGGGGAAACUCUGGUGGAAGCUCGUAGCGAUUCUGACGUGCAAAUCGAUCGUCAAACUUGGGUAUAGGGGCGAAAGACUAAUCGAACCAUCUAGUAGCUGGUUCCCUCCGAAAUUUCCCUCAGGAUAGCAGCAACUUUUUUACGAUA